rnacentral:rRNA from 1 species
GCGUGAGCGAAGAAGGCCUUCGGGUCGUAAAGCUCUUUACGUAUGGGACGAUAAUGACGGGACCUGCAAGGAAGCCGCGUGUUAUCCGUGCCAGACGCGCGAAUAUACAUGGGGGGAUAGCGGUCCGCAAUUUUUGUGGGCGUAAAGCACGCGUGCGCGUAUUCUCAAGUCAGAGGAGAAACCCGGGCUCUCCGCUCGAAGUUGCCUUUGACUAUAUAUGGCUUGAAGAUGAGAGAAGAAUGUGGAAUUUGGAGUGUAGAGGAGAAAUUCAUAGAUCUUCAGAAAAACCCCAGUGGAGAAAGCGGCUUACUGGACCAUUUGUGGCUGUGGGGUGCCAAAGCGUGGAGAGCAAACGAGUUUAUAUACCGU